CCUACGGGUGGCAGCAGUGAGGAAUAUUGGUCAAUGGACGCAAGUCUGAACCAGCCAUGCCGCGUGCAGGAAGACGGCUCUAUGAGUUGUAAACUGCUUUUGUACGAGGGUAAACGCAGAUACGCGUAUCUGUCUGAAAGUAUCGUACGAAUAAGGAUCGGCUAACUCCGGGCCAGCAGCCGCGGUAAUACGGAGGAUUCAGGCGUUAUCCGGAUUUAUUGGGUUUAAAGGGUGCGUAGGCGGUCGGAUAAGUUAGAGGUGAAAGCCCGAGGCUCAACUUCGGAAUUGCCGCUGAUACUGUUCGGCUAGAGAGUAGUUGCGGUAGGCGGAAUGUAUGGUGUAGCGGUGAAAUGCUUAGAGAUCAUACAGAACACCGAUUGCGAAGGCAGCUUACCAAGCUACUUCUGACGUUGAGGCACGAAAGCGUGGGGAGCAAACAGGAUUAGAUACCCUAGUAGUC
rnacentral:rRNA from 1 species